rnacentral:lncRNA from 1 species
UUCUUCAGAUAAUAUGUUUUUCUAUGUUGAUAUUGUCCUUAUUACAGUUGAGCUUUUCGUUUUUUUUUUGUUUUUUUUGUUCUGUGUGCUAUGUGUGUACGUAUGCUUGUAUUACAGUUACAGAUAGACAUUUGUAUUUACAUUCAUAUUAUACAAAGGAUACGAGAAGGUGGAAGAAACUAUCAAGGUGUUGAAGAAUCAAAUUGGUCCAUCCUUAUCAGCACCAACUACUAGUAGGUGUCAAUCAGAUUGAUCCACAGAGGCUCGGCUAUAUCACGGGUUUAGCGUAUGGCAGAAUAGGUCUUCUCUAUUCUUGAAGUUCACGACUACAUGAAGCAAUUUUGGUAUAAUUUUACUCUGAUCCGUCUUGUUUUGAGGGGGGUCGGUUUUUUUUUUUACAAAUAGUUUUUAGUUUUGAGAGAUCAUUGAAUGAUUCGUGGGGUGUCUAAUAUUUAUAUUUACGGUUUGAUUACAGGGAUUGUUAUCUAUAUAUAUGAUAAUUUUCUAGUAUUAAAUUUGUAAAUUUUGAAUGGAAAAUCAAUCACAACUCAGAUCCACACACUAUCGCCAUAAACAACAUGUAGGCAAGCAUUCUAUACUUUUAUGUUUGGUAACUUCUAUAAAUAUAAUUUAAGUACUCUACAAUCACUUCAAAUUGAAACAACAAUUUUGUAAACAUCUCAAUUUAAUCAUAUCAUCUAAUCUAUUCAUGUUUAAACCUAAGAAAAAAGCAUUUCUCAAGUUUUGAAGAAUCAAUUUUUAAAAUGAAGGAGCGAUU